rnacentral:rRNA from 1 species
AUUGAACGCUGGCGGCAGGCCUAACACAUGCAAGUCGAGCGAGCGGCGGACGGGUGAGUAAUGUCUGGGAAACUGCCUGAUGGAGGGGGAUAACUACUGGAAACGGUAGCUAAUACCGCAUACCAUCAGAUGUGCCCAUAUGGUAUUAGCUAGUAGGUGGGGUAACGGCUCACCUAGGCGACGAUCCCUCGCUGGUCUGAGAGGAUGACAAGCCACACGGGAACUGAGACACGGACCAGACUACUACGGGAGGCAGCAGUGGGGAGUAUUGCACAAUGGGCGCAAGCCUGAUACAGCAAUUCCGCGUGUAUGAAGAAGGCCUUCGGGUUGUAAAGUACUUUCAGCGGGGAGGCGUUACCCGCAGAAGAAGCACCGGCUAACUCCGUGCCAGCAGCCGCGGUAAUUC